GACGAACGCUGGCGGCGUGCUUAACACAUGCAAGUCGAACGGAAAGGCCCUGCUUUUGUGGGGUGCUCGAGUGGCGAACGGGUGAGUAACACGUGAGUAACCUGCCCUUGACUUUGGGAUAACUUCAGGAAACUGGGGCUAAUACCGGAUAGGAGCUCCUGCUGCAUGGUGGGGGUUGGAAAGUUUCGGCGGUUGGGGAUGGACUCGCGACUUAUCAGCUUGUUGGUGGGGUAGUGGCUUACCAAGGCUUUGACGGGUAGCCGGCCUGAGAGGGUGACCGGGCAAAAUGGGGACUGGGUACGGGCCCGGACUCCUACGGGGGCCAGAGGGGGGAAUAAUGGCCAAUGGGGCGAAGGCCGAAGGAGGAACGCCGGGUGGGGGAUGACGGCCUUUGGGUUUUAAAACCGUUUCGCCCGUUACCAAGCGUGAGGGACGGUAAUGGGUAAAGAAGCACCGGCUAACUACGUG
rnacentral:rRNA from 1 species